GCGGCGGGCAGCGCGCGGGGCGGGACGCGCACACGGGCACACGCAGGCUCACACUCACACACACUCACUCACACACUCACACUCACACAACGCUGCCGCGGCACCUACCAGGCGGGCAGCCUCGGCCCAGGCUGAAACGAGUUGGGAAUGACUGGGGCUUUGUCCAGUGCCUCCUGCGUCCCUCCCCAGCCGUCUGCCCUCUUGGUUUCCCUAACGUUAAAACUCGCACGGCUCACUGGAGAAAUAAAAAAAAAUAAUAAUAAUUAAAAAUAUCAGUCCCAACUAGCACGAUGUUCACAGAAUCACAGAAUUUCUAGGUUGGAAGAGACCUCAAGAUCAUCGAGUCCAACCUCUGACCUACCGCUAACAGUCCCCACUAAACCAUACCCCUAAGCUCUACAUCUAAACGUCUUUUUAAGGCUGUUUUAUUUAGAAAAGGACAGGGGACAGCCCUAGAGGAAGCCAAAGUGGCUCCCUGAUGGCGCUCCCUCAAAAAGCACUCAGGUGGUGUGCAGGGUUCCAGCUGUUGACACAUCCCCCUCAUCCCCCUCAUCUUUAUAUUGGAAAUGGUACAUGGAAGGUAAUUCCUCACUGUGACGCCUCUCCAGAUUUCAUAUUUCAUUUUCACACUCAAAACCAUUAACAAAACAAACUCUAUUAAAGCACUUUCUUCUGAA